GCCUGGGCAGCUUAGUUGGUUAAGCGUCUGACUCUGGCUCAGAUUAUAAUCUUGCAGUUCAUGAGUUCAAGCCCCAUGUUGGGCU
rnacentral:tRNA from 1 species